CGUUGAUUCAUUGAGAUACACAUCAGCAUUAUCGGUGGGGCUUGCUAUUGUAUUUGUGGCAAUCACUGCUGGAGUGGCAAUUGUUAAAUUAAUAGAAGGAAGUAUCAGAAUGCCACGUUUGGUGCCCGAACUCAAUGAUCAAGCAUCUUUCUGGAAGCUUUUUACAGUUAUACCUGUUUUAGUCACUGCUUACAUAUGCCACCACAACAUUCACCCUAUAGAGAAUGAACUGAAAGACCCC
rnacentral:misc_RNA from 1 species